rnacentral:rRNA from 1 species
GAUGAACGCUGACAGAAUGCUUAACACAUGCAAGUCUUUGGCGAAGCUGUGCUUGCACAGCCUAGCCAAGGCGGACGGGUGAGUAACGCGUAAGGAACUUGCCCUGCAGUCAGGGAUAACAGACGGAAACGACUGAUAAGACCUGGUAAAGUCAGGCGGACUCAUGUCCAGCCUGAUGAAAAGAGAUGCUGCAGGGGAGCCUUGCGUCCUAUUAGCUUGUUGGUGGGGUAACGGCCCACCAAGGCGAUGAUAGGUAGCCGGCCUGAGAGGGUGGACGGCCACAAGGGGACUGAGAUACGGCCCUUACUCCUACGGGAGGCAGCAGUGGGGAAUAUUGGACAAUGGGGGCAACCCUGAUCCAGCAAUUCUGUGUGCACGAUGAAGGUUUUCGGAUUGUAAAGUGCUUUCAGCAGGGAAGAAAAAAAUGACGGUACCUGCAGAAGAAGCGACGGCUAAAUACGUG